CCCUUAGAUGUUCUGGGCCGCACGCGCGCUACACUGAUGCAUUCAACGAGUUUCUUCCUGGUCCGAGAGGAAUGGGUAACCUUUUGAAAGUGCAUCGUGAUAGGGAUAGACUAUUGCAAUUAUUGGUCUUCAACGAGGAAUUCCUAGUAGACGUAGUUCAUCAGACUGCAUCGAUUACGUCCCUGCCCUUUGUGCACACCGCCCGUCGCUACUACCGAUUGAACGGUUUAGUGAGGGCCUCGGAUUGGUCUCGGCCCGCUCUUUACCGGGCGGCGCCGUUGGUCGAGAAGACGCUCGAACUUGAUCGUUUAGAGGAAGUAAAAGUCGUAACA
rnacentral:rRNA from 1 species